UCAAGCACACAGUGUAUCUCUUCCCUUUCCCGCUUACUUUCAUUGACUAAGGUUGUUUUUGGCACAUAUGAGCACAAGAUUUUUUUAUUCUGGUUCUGGAGGGGAACCCCCCUACUUCCCAGAUAUCUUUAAUUAUAUUGUUGUUUCAGGCCAGCAGAUGGAUCAAGACAUAAAUGAAAGAAGAUCAUAAUGAGGAACUGGCAAAUAGCUUCCCAGCAAUUCUAGCCCCCAUCUCUAAUUGAAUUUUUGCUGUGUGGGACUCAGGGACUUCCCAGGAGUUCCCUUUAGAUCAGUUCUGAAGGCAGUAUAUAAGAAAAAGGGUGAAGUUAAAGGGACUAGAAAUGUGUAAACAGCAAUGACUCAGUGGUCUCAGCUCAUUUUUGAAAGGCAAGUUCACCAGGAUUAGCAUGCUUUCUUCACAGAUCUUCAUUAGCAACUGCUCAGAGUAUAUGUGUGCAGUUUUGUCUCUAGAGAGCCAGAGAGAGAAGUGGUGACGAGAAAAUAACUGGAUUUCCCCACAAGAAAUGCCUCGGCCCCUACCUCGCCUAUUCUCUCCAGUGAUGGAAAAUCAGUGUUGAAGGUAGGACACGCUGAAUGGAAUCAGGUAUAGGAAGUUCUUUGUAAACCUUCAAAGGGUUUUACAAAUUUGCUAUUACAGACCUUAUCUAGAGCCAGUCUGAGAAUAACCUUUAAUGGCUGAAAUUCACAAAGGUAUCUUCAGAAGAGUCAUGUCAAUAACUGACAUUUCCAGGCGGCCAGGUGGUAUAGUGGCUACAGUGAAGAGCUUACGUUCAAGAAAACAUAAUCUUCUUGAGAUACUUCCCAACCAUGUGAUGCUGAGUGAUUUACUUAAUCUCUUCCUGCCUCAGUUUCCUCAUUUGUAAAAUGAAAUAGCAUCUACUUCCUGGGGCAAUUGUGAGAAUAAAAUAAAAUGAUAUUAAUAUAAAGCAUUGCACAAAUCUUAAAGCUAAAUAAAUUCUAGGUGUUGUUUCAAUUAUUCCAA